AGAUUGAACGCUGGCGGCAUGCCUUACACACGCAAGUCGAACGGUAGAGUAGCAAUACUCGAGAGUGGCGAACGGGUGAGUAAUAUAUCGGAACGUGCCCAGUCGUGGGGGAUAACGUAGAGAAAUUUACGCUAAUACCGCAUACGAUCUACGGAUGAAAGCGGGGGAUUCGCAAGAACCUCGCGCGAUUGGAGCGGCUGAUAUCAGAUUAGGUUGUUGGUGAAGGUAAAGCUCACCAAGCCGACGAUCUGUAGCUGGUUGAGAGACG
rnacentral:rRNA from 1 species